rnacentral:rRNA from 1 species
GUGGGGAAUAUUGCACAAUGGGCGCAAGCCUGAUGCAGCAACGCCGCGUGAGGGAAGACGGUUUUCGGAUUGUAAACCUUUGUCUUUGGUGAAGAAGAAAGUGACGGUAGCCAAGGAGGAAGCCACGGCUAACUACGUGCCAGCAGCCGCGGUAAUACGUAGGUGGCAAGCGUUGUCCGGAAUUACUGGGUGUAAAGGGAGCGCAGGCGGGACUGCAAGUUGGAUGUGAAAUACCGGGGCUCAACCCCGGAGCUGCAUCCAAAACUGUAGUUCUUGAGUGAAGUAGAGGUAGGCGGAAUUCCGAGUGUAGCGGUGAAAUGCGUAGAUAUUCGGAGGAACACCAGUGGCGAAGGCGGCCUACUGGGCUUUAACUGACGCUGAGGCUCGAAAGUGUGGGGAGCAAACAGGAUUAGAAACCCUAGUAGUCC